rnacentral:sRNA from 14 species
GAACAUGUGAGGGUAUUUGAUGGUGAGCUCCGUCACACACUGGUCAUCACCAAGGUUGACUGGCUGAUCUGGUUGGCUAUGUGAGUGGCACCUUCAUCCCUGACUACUUCAUGUUCAUCCUUCUGGUCGAUGUGUGCUUGAUUGAAGAGGAUGCCCUUCCCUGGCUUGCUCUCCAGCCAAAGGCAUGUGAGUUCAAGCCACACCCUCUGCUUGAACCUCCAGACAAGGCAACCAGCUCUCCAGGUUCAUCUAUGGGAGAACAUCAGAUAGUCAGGAUUGUUUUUAAAGAGAGAAAAGUAAU